rnacentral:rRNA from 1 species
UGUCCUUUGGACAAUGGUAGGAGAGCGUUCUAAGGGCGUUGAAGCAUGAUCGUAAGGACAUGUGGAGCGCUUAGAAGUGAGAAUGCCGGUGUGAGUAGCGAAAGACGGGUGAGAAUCCCGUCCACCGAUUGACUAAGGUUUCCAGAGGAAGGCUCGUCCGCUCUGGGUUAGUCGGGUCCUAAGCUGAGGCCGACAGGCGUAGGCGAUGGAUAACAGGUUGAUAUUCCUGUACCACCUAUAAUCGUUUUAAUCGAUGGGGGGACGCAGUAGGAUAGGCGAAGCGUGCGAUUGGAUUGCACGUCUAAGCAGUAAGGCUGAGUAUUAGGCAAAUCCGGUACUCGUUAAGGCUGAGCUGUGAUGGGGAGAAGACAUUGAGUCUUCGAGUCGUUGAUUUCACACUGCCGAGAAAAGCCUCUAGAUAGAAAAUAGGUGCCCGUACCGCAAACCGACACAGGUAGUCAAGAUGAGAAUUCUAAGGUGAGCGAGCGAACUCUCGUUAAGGAACUCGGCAAAAUGACCCCGUAACUUCGGGAGAAGGGGUGCUCUUUAGGGUUAACGCCCAGAAGAGCCGCAGUGAAUAGGCCCAAGCGACUGUUUAUCAAAAACACAGGUCUCUGCUAAACCGUAAGGUGAUGUAUAGGGGCUGACGCCUGCCCGGUGCUGGAAGGUUAAGAGGAGUGGUUAGCUUCUGCGAAGCUACGAAUCGAAGCCCCAGUAAACGGCGGCCGUAACUAUAACGGUCCUAAGGUAGCGAAAUUCCUUGUCGGGUAAGUUCCGACCCGCACGAAAGGCGUAACGAUUUGGGCACUGUCUCAACGAGAGACUCGGUGAAAUCAUAGUACCUGUGAAGAUGCAGGUUACCCGCGACAGGACGGAAAGACCCCGUGGAGCUUUACUGUAGCCUGAUAUUGAAAUUCGGCACAGCUUGUACAGGAUAGGUAGGAGCCUUUGAAACGUGAGCGCUAGCUUACGUGGAGGCGCUGGUGGGAUACUACCCUAGCUGUGUUGG